UACGUAGGGACCAAGCGUUGUUCGGAUUUACUGGGCGUAAAGGGUGCGUAGGCGGCGCGGUAAGUCACUUGUGAAAUCUCUGAGCUUAACUCAGAACGGCCAAGUGAUACUGCAGUGCUAGAGUGUGGAAGGGGCAAUCGGAAUUCUUGGUGUAGCGGUGAAAUGCGCAGAUAUCAGGAAGAACACCCGUGGCUAAGGCGGUGGUCUGGGCCGGCACUGACGCUGAGGAGCGAAAGCGUGGGUAGCAAACAGG
rnacentral:rRNA from 1 species